CUGUAAAAGAUGAGAUUUCUAGAGGUGGCCAUUCAAUUACUCUUCGCCCACCCACAAAUCAUGCACUCUGGUUCACCAAAUCCGCCUUUCAAAGGGCAGAUUAGUGCGCUUUGUCAGCACACUAGCAGUUACGGAGAGGUUUGUCAGUAUUGAAAGGGAGAUUUUGCAAAUUGAGAGUUUAGUUCAACUGGAGGAAGUACAAGAAGGCAAAGCUAACUCAUACACAAGAACAAAUUGAUGAAAUUCAGAUUGAAUGGGCAGCAUUUAUGAGCAAUCACAUGUAGCUCAUAUAUUUCUAAUUAUAGUUUAAUGCUAUGGAUAUGGUAUAUUUUGUAUGGAUAUAG